rnacentral:rRNA from 1 species
UACAGAGGGGGCAAGCGUUAUUCGGAAUUAUUGGGCGUAAAGGGCGCGUAGGCGGCCUGGCAAGUGGAAGGUGAAAUCCCUCGGCUUGACCGAGGAACUGCCCUCCAAACUGCUUGGCUUGAGUCCGGGAGAGGUGAGUGGAAUUCCCAGUGUAGCGGUGAAAUGCGUAGAUAUGCGGAGGAACACCGAUGGCGAAGGCAAUCCCUUGGGCCUGCACUGACGCUCAUGCACGAAAGCGUGGGGAGCAAACAGG